rnacentral:SRP_RNA from 1 species
GGCCGGGUCCUGCGCAACGGCACCCCGUGAACCGAGUCAGGGCCGGGAGGCAGCAGCUCUCAGCGGGUCGUCCCGUGUGCCGCAGACCGCCUGGCCGCU